CAAAUACUUUCUCCGUCUAACAAAAGAUGUCUCGAGUUUGUCAAAACUUGGAUGUAUCUAGAUAUGACUUCGUGUGUAUAGAUGCAUUCAAACUUAGUUAAAAUUGAGACAUCAUUUGUUAGACUGAGGAAUACGAG
rnacentral:pre_miRNA from 1 species